AAUGAUGAAAUUUUCUGAAACCAUCUGUGCUUAGAAAGUUCAACACAAGUGGUAUGACAGAUGUUAACGGGUAGAAGGGUAGGUAGAGGUGUAAAGCCAGGUAUUGCUAAAUAAUAAUUUAAUAGAAAUUCUCAACGAUAAAAUUGAAAGUGAAACGUACUUGUAGGGUCGUUCCUGAGUGUGCGUUCGUACGUGUUUCUUAAGAUCGCUUAGGGUCGUGAAGAAUUUUAAACAGCCUGUUUUUUCGCAAUUGAAAGUGUUACCGCUGUGUAAUCUUUGGCUGUACGACGUCAAGAAUGCCUUACCGCAAUCUGGUUCUGCACAUUUAAAUCGAUACUCGCCUGAAAUCAAGAAUUACGUUGAAGAAAAUGAAUGAAAAAAUACCAUAAACAAAACUAAUGAAAAA